rnacentral:rRNA from 1 species
UCAAGUUAUUAAGGGUGCAGGGCGGAUGCCUUGGCACUAGGAGCCGAUGAAGGACGUGAUAAGCUGCGAUAAGCUUCGGGGAGUUGCACGUAAACUUUGAUCCGAAGAUUUCCGAAUGAGGAAACUCACUUAGAGUAAUGUCUAAGUAUCAUUAAGUGAAUACAUAGCUUAAUGAGGGGAACUCAGGGAACUGAAACAUCUAAGUACCUGAAGGAAGAGAAAGAAAUUCGAUUCCGUAAGUAGCGGCGAGCGAACGCGGAUUAGCCCAAACCAAUAAAGUUUUCUUUAUUGGGGUUGCGGACAUAUCAUAACGAAGAGGUAUCGUAAUUGAAGAGGUUUGGAAAGACCCACCACAGAAGGUAAUAGUCCUGUAUGUUAAACGAGAAGACUUCAGAUAUGAUCCAGAGUACCACGGGACACGUGAAACCCUGUGGGAAGCAGGAGGGACCACCCUCCAAGGCUAAAUACUACCUAGUGACCGAUAGCGUAUAGUACCGUGAGGGAAAGGUGAAAAGAACCCCGGGAGGGGAGUGAAAUAGAACCUGAAACCCUGCACUUACAAGCUGUGGAAGCACAUUUCUUGUGUGACCGCGUACUUUUUGUAGAACGGGCCAACGAGUUACGUUAAGUAGCAAGGUUAAGCACUUAAGGUGUGGAGCCGUAGCGAAAGCGAGUUUUAACUGAGCGUUCAGUUACUUGACGUAGACCCGAAACCGGGCGACCUACCCAUGAGCAGGAUGAAGCGAAAGUAAAAUUUCGUGGAGGUCCGAACCCACGAGCGUUGAAAAGCUCGGGGAUGACUUGUGGGUAGCGGUGAAAUUCCAAUCGAGCCCGGAGAUAGCUGGUUCUCCCCGAAAUAGCUUUAGGGCUAGCCUCAAAGUGAGAGAUACGGAGGUAGAGCACUGAAUGUCCUAGGGGGUAUUGCACCUACCGAAGACUAUCAAACUCCGAAUGCCGUCAUCUUAUACUUGGGAGUCAGACUGUGGGUGAUAAGAUUCAUAGUCGAAAGGGCAACAGCCCAGAUCGUCAGCUAAGGUCCAUAAAUGUAAGUUAAGUGGUAAAGGAUGUGGGAUUGCACAGACAACCAGGAUGUUGGCUUAGAAGCAGCCACUCAUUCAAAGAGUGCGUAAUAGCUCACUGGUCGAGUGAUCCUGCGCCGAAGAUUUCCGGGGCUAAAACUUACUACCGAAGCUACGGCAUCAGUAAUGAUGGGUAGGGGAGCUUCCCAUACGGGUUGAAGCAUGACCGUAAGGACAUGUGGACAGUAUGGGAGUGAGAAUGUUGGCAUGAGUAGCGAGAUGUGGGUGAGAAUCCCACAGGCCGUAAACCCAAGGUUUCCAGGGGAAGGUUCGUCCGCCCUGGGUUAGUCGGGACCUAAGCUGAGGCCGAAAGGCGUAGGUGAUGGACAACAGGUUGAUAUUCCUGUACUACGAUAACCGUUUGAGAGAAGGGAUGACACAGUAGGAUAAGCUAAGCACACUGUUGGUUAUGUGUGCCCAAGCAUUGAGGCAGUCAAAGUAGGCAAAUCCGCUUUGAUAAUGCUGGGAUGUGAUGGGGAGCGAAAUUUAGUAGCGAAGUAGCUGAUUUCACACUGUCAAGAAAAGUCUCUAUCGAGGUUAAAGGUACCCGUACCGCAAACCGACACAGGUGGGUGAGGAGAGUAUCCUAAGGCCAGCGAGAGAACUGUUGUUAAGGAACUCGGCAAAAUGACCCCGUAACUUAGGGAUAAGGGGUGCCACCAUCAGGUGGCCGCAGAGAAUAGGCCCAAUCGACUGUUUACCAAAAACAUAGGUUUCUGCUAAGUCGCAAGACGAUGUAUAGGAGCUGACGCCUGCCCGGUGCUGGAAGGUUAAGGGGAUCUGUUAGAGGAAUCGAAGCAGUGAACUUAAGCCCCAGUAAACGGCGGCCGUAACUAUAACGGUCCUAAGGUAGCGAAAUUCCUUGUCGGGUAAGUUCCGACCCGCACGAAAGGCGUAACGAUUUGGGCACUGUCUCAACAACAGACUCGGUGAAAUUGUAAUUCCGGUGAAGAUGCCGGAUACCUGCGACAGGACGGAAAGACCCCAUGGAGCUUUACUGUAGCUUGACAUUGGGUCUUGGUACUACAUGUACAGGAUAGGUGGGAGGCUUUGAAACCAGGACGCCAGUUUUGGCGGAGCCAUCCUUGGGAUACCACCCUUGUAGUACUGGGACUCUAACCAUAGGCCAUGAAUCUGGUCUUGGGACACUGUCAGGUGGGCAGUUUGACUGGGGCGGUCGCCUCCCAAAAGGUAACGGAGGCGCUCAAAGGUUCUCUCAGUACGGUCGGAAAUCGUACGUAGAGUGUAAAGGCAAAAGAGAGCUUGAUUGCAAGGACAUACAGGUCGAGCAAGGAUGAAAAUCGGACUUAGUGAUCCGGUGGUUCUGCGUGGAAGGGCCAUCGCUCAACGGAUAAAAGCUACCCUGGGGAUAACAGGCUUAUCUCCCCCAAGAGUCCACAUCGACGGGGAGGUUUGGCACCUCGAUGUCGGCUCAUCACAUCCUGGGGCUGUAGUAGGUCCCAAGGGUUGGGCUGUUCGCCCAUUAAAGUGGUACGCGAGCUGGGUUCAGAACGUCGUGAGACAGUUCGGUCCCUAUCCGUCGCAGGCGUAGGAAAUUUGAGAAGACCUGUCCUUAGUACGAGAGGACCGGGAUGGACGUACCUCUGGUGUACCAGUUGUUCUGCCAAGGGCAUGGCUGGGUAGCUAUGUACGGAAUGGAUAAGCGCUGAAAGCAUCUAAGCGCGAAGCCAACUUCAAGAUAAGAUUUCCCACCGCAAGGGUAAGACCCCAGAAAGACUAUCUGGUUGAUAGGUCGAAGGUGUAAGUGCAGCAAUGUAUUUAGCUUAUCGAUACUAAUAGGUCGAGGACUUGACCAA